UACGUAGGGUGCGAGCGUUGUCCGGAAUUACUGGGCGUAAAGAGCUCGUAGGUGGUUUGUCGCGUUGUUCGUGAAAACCUGAGGCUUAACCUUGGGCGUGCGGUCGAUACGGGCAUCACUGGAGUUCGGCAGGGGAGACUGGAAUUCCUGGUGUAGCGGUGAAAUGCGCAGAUAUCAGGAGGAACACCGGUGGCGAAGGCGGGUCUCUGGGCCGAUACUGACGCUGAGGAGCGAAAGCGUGGGGAGCGAACAGG
rnacentral:rRNA from 1 species